GUGAGGGAGAAGAGGCAUGGCAGCAGAAUUUGGGGCAGAGAGAAAAAGAUAUGGGCUCACUCGAUUGCGGGCGGAUAAGGAUCCCCAGAUAAGCGGUCUCUACACGUCUACUCCCGAUUAUCUUUUCAGUCUUUAAAACUUGGCUGUUGGGGGGUCCUGGAGGUUGGAUUUUGCUUCAAACAUUUGGGGAUCCAAGCAAUUGAGAUUGUGAAUUGGUGUGAGUACGGUGUUGUAUGAUGUCAUCAGAAAGCUUCUUCUUCCUCUUCUUUGUUCUUGGUGAGCUCAUAAUUAAGGAUAGGGUUAGUCGAAGCGGGUUUCAUGAAGAUGUUUUUGGGCGAUGUAGUAUUGGAUGGCUUUUGAUGGUUUGUAUAGUAGUGCUUGAUUGAA